rnacentral:lncRNA from 1 species
UUUUAUGGAUCCUUUCUGUAUUGCUAGGGACAAUCCACAGCUUUACCAGCUGUAGGAAGGCUAUUUCUAUUCCCAGCACCAAGAAAGAACCACUUCUGAAAGGAAAUGUUUCAUGCUGAAUUGAACUUGAUCUCCUGAUCAGAUGUUUGAUUGGUUUUUACCACAUUGUUCUUUAACACUGAAAACAAGGUAAGUGCUGCAUUUUAUUAAGAUUCUCAAUUAAUGUUACUCUCAGGUUCUCAAAUAUUCUAAUCAAGUACUAA